CCAGCACCCCGAGUGGUCGGGACGAUUAUUGGGCCUAAAGCAUCCGUAGCCGGCUUUACAAGUCCCCCGUUAAAUCCAACUGCUUAACAGAUGGGCCGCGGAGGAUACUAUAAGACUAGGAGGCAGGAGAGGCAAGCGGUACUCAGUGGGUAGGGGUAAAAUCCGUUGAUCCAUUGAAGACCACCAGUGGCGAAGGCGGCUUGCCAGAAUGCGCUCGACGGUGAGGGAUGAAAGCUGGGGGAGCAAACCGGAUUAGAUACCCGGGUAGUCCCAGCUGUAAACGAUGCAGACUCGGUGAUGGACUAGCUUAAUGCUAGUCCAGUGCCGCAGGGAAGCCGUUAAGUCUGCCGCCUGGGUAGUACGGUCGCAAGACUG
rnacentral:rRNA from 1 species